GGGAUUACAUUUUUUCAUGAAACUGAAAGAUAUGUAAACAAUCUUAACAUAUAUAACCGCUCGAAAAACGGAACGAACUUAUGGGAUGAGCUAAUAAUUAAGCACAGGGAAGAAUUUCCUCAGUUCUUACCGAAUUAAAUCCGAAGUCUCACGUUCGUCUAUGUAUCGCUCACUAUCUUCAGGCCAUGGUUUCACCGCGUUUCGGUCGCUCGACAGCGCAGUUGGAGUUGACAUUCAGCGAGCGAGUACGCUAGUUGGCCGUUGUCUCGCGUUCGUUGAAAACGAAUCAGUGUGCAUAUUUUCGACAUUUCCGUUUUAGGAUUCUUGUUGGACGCCCGUUCAGUCUAGCACGGUCAGUUUUUUACGAGCUUUCGAAUCGUCAACGUGAUCUCCAUCGGUCGCGAGGUUCGUUUAGUCUCUCAGCGAUCUGAGAGACAGUCUCGUCUGAGUUUUCGACUUAUUAAAUGUUUCCAAGCAUUCGUGGAGUAAAGUAGCGUUCAAUUGAUCGUGACCAUCAGUUGUUAGUAUCAGUGAAGCUUUAUGUUUUCGAACGAUCUUACUUAAGAUUAACUCUGAACGAUCGGAGAGUCAAGUAUCGUCGUAGCCGUGUUAAUAAAAUUCUGCCGUAGUUAAUUCGGCGGAAUCUAUCAUACUGCUGCUCAACAAGAGGGAGGAAAAGGGAGAAAAAAUACAAUUGCAACGAGGUGUCUCAACGCAAACCUUUAUUGUUACCUGUAAAUUAUAACACGUAGGUGGAAUAAAGACAGAGAAUCUGAUCGAAAUUUCGCUGUUAAUCUUAGUUUAAAUCGACGUAAGGUACAACGUAUAUAAUUGUUUUGUCGAAACGAUUAAAACGAUCAGCUGCAACAGUUCAGAAAGCGUCGCACACGAUACGUCUCUCAUAUAUUUUCAUCAUCGCAUCGUCGCAGCUUAUCAUACACGUAGUACAUAUUACACUUGACGUGUAACGCACGCGCAAUCGAUCGUUUCUCCUGGAUAUAUGUUCUUUCAACGUUACACCAAAGCUCUUUUUCUCUUCGUUCAAGUUCUCCCUGGUUAUCGUGCGAUCGUCCGUCCCUUUCACGAAGUAAAAAGC